GCAUUCCUGGCAGCGCAGCGGUAAGCAGGCGGCCACAGAGCGCUCCUUCAACGGACCCACUAUUACCGAAACAGGAUUUAAGUUCACGAAAACCAGAAAGCUUCGCCAGAGACGGACGGCCGGCUCCUUGCUCACCGGGUCGACGUGCUCGGCCGGACAGGACGGUGGUCUGCGCUGGGACGGAUGUGGUGGCCGUACGGAGAUGAGUGUUGCUAUGAGUCAGACCCCUGGAGUGAAAACCUGGACCUCAUCGCCCUGUGGACUUUAACUACUGGCCUUUCCUGCUUCACCUGCAGAUACUGAGUCCAGCGCUGACCACAGAGAGGAGGAGGACGAAGGAGGAGGACGAAGGAGGACGAAGGAGGCCUAGCCACGGCAGCAGUCGACCGCGGCCCCCCUGGACCAGUGGAGCCCCCCCCCCCAGCCAUAGAAGGAAAGCAAUGGUUUUGGGAGCUGGAGGCCAUAGCAGCAUCGAUAGAGUUUGCGUGGGUGGCAUCCUCUUCCCUUCAGCGAGCCCCCCCCCUGCCCCGGGAUGCCCCCCCGCCGCCCGGCCCUGAGCUCCCCCAGGGAGACAUGAGCAGCUACCGCGACCGGGGGGUCACCUGCACCUCCUCGGACCUCCUGCUGGACGGAGGAGGAGGAGGGGGAAGGGGGCUGCCUCUCUCGGCCUCCCAGCAUGCACUGCUCCGCCCCCUGCCCAACGGACACCCGGGGGACCCGACGGGCGGGCCCCGGCUCUCGGUGCCCAAGAUGGGGGUCCGGGCGCGCAUCGCCGAGUGGCCCCCGCGGCGCUCCCAGUCCCGGGAGUCGCUGCUGGAGAACGGCGGCCGAGACCGCCACGCCGCCCCCGGCCGCGCGGCGGACGGGGGGCUGGUGCGGGGGGGCGUUGCCCGGCUGCCGCGGCGACGGGCCAAAGAGGAUGAGUACCACGGGGGGGCGUCGGAGCGGGGCUCCAUGUGGAACCUGCGGGCGUUCCCGCCGCUGCGGCAGCGCUCCAACAGCGAGAUGACCCUCAGCGAGCAGGACGAGCUGGAG
ensembl:lncRNA